rnacentral:rRNA from 1 species
GGGCCUUGUACACACCGCCCGUCACACCAUGGGAGUGGGUUGCAAAAGAAGUAGGUAGCUUAACCCUCGGGAGGGCGCUUACCACUUUGUGAUUCAUGACUGGGGUGAAGUCGUAACAAGGUAACCGUAGGGGAACCUGCGGUUGGAUCACCUCCUUA